CCCCUUUCCGACGAGGAGGUUCUUGGCUACAUGCUCACUAGUCUGGGCUCGGAAUAUGAGCCCCUUGUUGCUUCAAUCACAGCACGUGAUGAAACAGUGAGCCUUGCUAGCUUCUAUGCAUAUUUGCUUAGUGCUGAGC
rfam:Hordeum vulgare subsp. vulgare, WGS project CAJW01000000 data, contig: morex_contig_71459